AAUCAUAGCUGUUGGUUGGCACCUGGAUCUUGGCCUGCCCAGUCUUCAGAGCCAUGAGAAUGAAAUGUCUGGUUUUGAAGCGGUUCAGUCUGCGGUGGUUUGUCACAGAAGCCCAUGCUGAGUAGGAUAGUGUGGAUUCUUUACCACUCAGCCGCCAGAGAAGCCCCCCAGUGACCUCAUUGGAAACUGAGAGGUGGGGUGUGAACCUCUGAGGUCAUCUCCGACUUGAUGAGCUGAAGUGCAUCAUUUGCACCUCCAUCCUGGGGCUAUGAUGGGAGAGAGGCUGGGAGCCAGAGAGCUAAGCUUUCUCUCUUCCUUCACGCUGGCCCUGCUGUCCCUACAGAAGCCACUGCUGGCCCCUCAGGAAACCUGCCCUUGUGUAGAAGCGGGGUGGGGUAGAGGUUGGAAGCUGCUGUAGGCAGUGAGAAAACUGCAGGGCCAGGAACGGGCAGCCACAACAGCCCCUCUGCACUGUCCUUCCUGGCUGCUGGCAGCCUCUGGAUGAACUUUGAGUCUAACAGUUUCUGGGUGAAUUGAUUAAAGUCAAGGGUAUUAAUAAUAAAAAAAUGUAAACUA